CCCUUAGAUGUCCUGGGCCGCACGCGCGCUUCACUGACAUGUUCAACAAGCCUCCUAGUUCGACAGGAUUUGGGAAAUCUUUGAACGCAUGUCGUGAUAGGGAUAGAUCAUUGCAAUUAUUGAUCUUGAACGAGGAAUUCCUAGUAAACGCGAGUCAUCAGCUCGCAUUGAUUACGUCCCUGCCCUUUGUACACACCGCCCGUCGCACCUACCGAUUGAAUGUUUCGGUGAAGAUUCCGGAUAGGACUUUUUUGAUUUAUUUCAAUUUUGUCUUAAAAGCUAUCUAAACCUCAACAUUUAGAGGAAGGUGAAGUCGUAACA
rnacentral:rRNA from 1 species